UAUUUUCCUGUCUUUGUGGUGGGACUUUACAUUCAUAUGUUCCUGUAUCAUCAGUCGUCACCUUCUUCAGAAUCAGAAACACGUCUCCAUCCUUCAUCU